UGGGGCUGAUAAUAAGGUUUAGAAGGAAAGACGGUGCUGAGCAGGGGACACAUGUGCCUGAGAGAUGGCAGGGCCUGCCAGAGAAAGGAAUCAUUAACCACCAUAAAGUUCAGAGAGGGAAGGUCGUGAAGAUCAACCUUUUUGCACCAGGGAAUAUCAUUGGCCUCUCUUUAGCAAGGAGAAAGAAGCUGAUCUCGGGUUGA
rnacentral:lncRNA from 1 species